UUCUUAUUUUCUCUUUUCCGUUCUCUUUCUUCUUCUAUGUUCUUCAUCUCCUUCUCUUUCUGUUGGUUUCAGUUCGACUGAUUGAGCUUAGUAUAGUAUGAAUAAUUCAUGGAAAGUUAGGUAGCAAGAUGAAUCGAAGAAGUUGAGGUUGUUUGAGUUCCAGGAGAAGAAAAAAGUGACGUUGAUGUCGAAUCAAAGUUAGGGUUUCGGUUUAAGUUCAAGAAAUGGAAGAAUUGUUGAAUUAAAAAUGGAUUUGAGUGCCUGGUGAUGAAGAAAAAAAAAGGAUUGGUGUUAAUUUGUUUGAUGCGAAGAAGAAGAAUCACAAGAUCAGUUAGUCGUUAUUAACAACGAUCGAUCUAAAGAAUGAACCAGUGGAUCAUGGAUCUCAAGGUAGGCGAGGCUUGUCAUCAAAAGAGGUGGGAAUUGAUAACGAACUCUCUUGUAUUCAUUAUUGUUUUAUAAAUCUAUUUAUAUUGUGAAAGUGAUGCAUAUUUUUGUUACUAUAGGAUAUGUAUAUGCAUGUAUUAUUUGUGUGUAAUAGAAACUAGUUUUCUUUUACAUUUUGGGAUGGGCUUGGAUCUUUAGAAACAACUAAUAUCUGUGUUUUGGGAGUAAUUACUUAUCUUCAAAAUGUGUUUUUUUCAUUGACUGGAAAGUGAUUACAAUCUUUACUUUCUGUUAGCAUGAAAGGAAGAGGGUUUCCUUUUGAUUGGUGUAUAGAAUGAGUUCCUUCACCGCACUUUAUACCUAGUUUUUAAGCACUUGUGUAGGGGCGUAAAAGCAUCCAAUAUUAAAUAGGCCCGGAGGGUAUCCUUAAGUGGGUACUGAGGUGUCCAAUAUUACCAUAGGAGGCGUAAAAGCAGCGUAUGGAAUACUUUUUCAUAGAGGGGACUAUUCUGUAUACAUGUAUGUUUACUGUUCUUUUAAAUUACUUUCAAAAGCUAUUAUAUUAUGUUUUGGUGUUCAGAGAGAAUGACUUGAUAUGUCGAGUGUGCGUAGAAUGAGGUGCUGGUAAGGUACAUAUCGUUUACGACUUCGAGGACGGAAAACCUCAGGGGGCUUUAAUGAUCAUUGAAGAAUCCGCAACAGUCAUGCCUUGCUACUCCGAAGGAAGACGUCGCUCAACUAUUAUUUAUGUUGUGAAUAUGUGCCGGUUUAUUAGUUGGUAGAACUUUAUAUUUCAGUAAAACUUAUUAUUUUAAUAUGCUUUAUCUGUUUUUUUAUCGGUUUUUUAGCAAAACCUGCAUUCUCUUUAAAUCAUUCUAGUGAUUACUCGAAAGUUAGUUGUUAUUUCUAAUUGGCACCCUUCGGGAUGAUGUGCUCACUCAAUUCCCACUUCCAGUUUCAGAGACAUAUCAGGAUGCGUACGUGGCGAUGAAAGCUUCGAGGAUUUUAUUUUCUUAGUUGGUUAGCUUCCGCUAUAUUUAUUUUUUGUUUAUAUUCUUCUUUGUAAACCAACUCACUACUGAAUAUGUAUCACUUGAGAGGAGUUCUUGUAUUUAUUUCUGAGAGGGUUAAAUUCGGUUAAUCUUUGUUUA